rnacentral:rRNA from 1 species
AUUUAUUAGAAAACACCAACCGUAUGUUUGUAUGUGGUGAAUCUAGAUAACUUUGCUGAUCGUAUGGCCUUGAGCCGGCGACAUUUCGAUUGAGUUUCUGCCCUAUCACCUUGAUGCUAGUGUAUUGUACUAGCAUGGGAGUUACGGGUAACGGAGGAUCAGGGUUCGAUCCCGGAGAGGGAGCCUGAGAAACGGCUACCACAUCCAAGGAAGGCAGCAGGCGCGCAAAUUACCCAAUCCAGACAAUGGGAGGUGGUGACGAAGAGUACCGGAUGACUGAAGUAAUUUUAGUCAGUCUGGAAUGGAAUCAAUUUAAGCAAUUGAUUGAGUAACUACUGGAGGGCAAGUCUGGUGCCAGCAGCCGCGGUAAUUCCAGCUCCAGUAGCGUGCCUCAAAGUUGCUGCGCUUAAAACGCUCGUAGUUGGAUGAGAAACUACGCAUCGGAUAGUUAUUAUCUAGGCGAAUGAGCUACAUAUUACGCAUUACUGGGAUGCUUUCAGCAUUCAGUAUGUAUUGAUAUUAGUUUAACUAGUAAUAACAUAUAACCGGUGUGUAGUAAUUGCGUAUGAGGAUGACCAUUGACCUUAAGUGUGUUGAAGGUCGUGUCUCAUGGAAUGUGCCUUGAGUAAAUCAGAGUGCUCAAAGCAGGCGUGAUGCCUGAAUGUUGAUAGCAUGGAACGAACAAAAGUGUAGAUGUGUAUUGAACAUGGUAGUUAUUGUUUCGGCAGUAUUCUACUACAAUAUACAACACCGACCGCCAAUUACGGAUGUUGGUUCCGUAUUGGGGUACUGAUUAAGAGGAGCGGUUGGGGGCAUUGGUAUUUGGCAGCGAGAGGUGAAAUUCUUAGACCGGCGCAAGACGGACGAAAGCGAAAGCAUUUGCCAAGAAUGUUUUCAUUAAUCAAGAACGAAAGUCGGAGGUUCGAAGACGAUCAGAUACCGUCCUAGUUCUCACUGUAAACUAUGCCGACCCGGGAUUAGUCCAAAGCCUUAAUAAUACGGCUUGGGUUGGUCCCCCUGGGAAACCUUAAGUUUUUCGGUUGCGGGGGGAGUAUGGUCGCAAGGCUGAAACUUAAAGGAAUUGACGGAAGGGCACCACCAGGGGUGGAGCCUGCGGCUUAAUUUGACUCAACACGGGAAACCUCACCCGGCCCGGACACGGAAAGGAUUGACAGAUUGAUAGCUCUUUCUCGAUUCUGUGGGUGGUGGUGCAUGGCCGUUCUUAGUUCGUGAAGUGAUUUGUCAGGUUAAUUCCGGUAACGGACGAGAUCACAGUCUCCAUUUGACGAGCUGGAGUAAUCGUAGAUUGUCGAUAUUUGUAGCAAUACAGGUGUCGGAUUUAUCUGCGUUGUUGGUAAGAUGCAGGAGGUAGUGAAGUGAUUGGUGGCAUCUUCGGGUGUUGUCAGUUGCAACGCUAUCGAUUUUGCGUUUUCCCUCCAGUCAAACAGUGUUCAGCUUUUAGUUGUGCGCUGUAUCAUGGAGAGACAACGGUAUAUAAUAAAAAUCCGAGGAAGUGUGGCUAUAACAGGUCUGUGAUGCCCUUAGAUGUUCUGGGCUGCACGCGCGCUACAAUGGCGACGACAACGAGUGUCUGAAUCGAAAGAUUUGGGUAAUCUUAUAAUCGUCGCCGUGAUGGGGAUUGACGUUUGUAAUUACGUCAUGAAAGAGGAAUCCCUAGUACGUGCGAUUCAUUAAAUCGCGCGGAUUUAGUCCCUGCCCUUUGUACACACCGCCCGUCGCUACUACCGAGUGAAUGGUGUCAUAAUGCCUUGGGAGCGGACAUCGUUUGAGCCUUGUGUUCAAUUUGAUGCUGCGAUCAGCGUAGAAUGGCGCAAUUUCGAGGAAGUAAAAGUCGUAACAAGGUUUCCGUAGGUGAACCUGCGGAAG